rnacentral:tRNA from 1 species
GCUCCUAUAGUGUAGUCCGGUUAAGCACUUUGGCUUCUCAAGCCAAAGACUCGGGUUCGAAUCCCGAUGGGAGCA